rnacentral:misc_RNA from 1 species
AUGAAACUUCAGUCGGCUUGUCCUCUGUGCUGGUGGAAACACAUGUGCACGUUGACAGGUCGCAUAUCCACACCCCUGUGCAUCCUAUGACUCCAAGUUGCCUUUGUGUGCCUAUAGGCCGGUGCUUGAGAGUAUUUUUACACACUCUUGAAUGUAAUGGAAUGUCUAUUGUGCAUAACGUACAAUCAAAAA